rnacentral:rRNA from 1 species
AUACUGAGGGUGCAAGCGUUAAUCGGAAUUACUGGGCGUUAAGCGCGCGUAGGUUGCCAUGUAAGUCGGUAGUGAAAGGCCACGGCUCAACCGUGGAAGUGCUAUCGAAACUGCAUGGCUAGAGGAUGAGAGGGGAAGGCGGAAUUCCAGGUGUAGCGGUGAAAUGCACAGAUAUCUGGAGGAACACCGGCGGCGAAGGCGGCCUUCUGGAUCAUCCCUGACACUGAGGCGCGAAAGCGUGGGGAGCGAACAGGAUUAGAAACCCCGGUAGUCC